rnacentral:rRNA from 1 species
UACAGAGGGGGCGAGCGUUGUUCGGAAUUACUGGGCGUAAAGGGCGCGUAGGCGGCCUGCUAAGUCGAACGUGAAAUCCCCGGGCUCAACCCGGGAACUGCGUCCGAUACUGGUGGGCUUGAAUCCGGGAGAGGGAUGUGGAAUUCCAGGUGUAGCGGUGAAAUGCGUAGAUAUCUGGAGGAACACCGGUGGCGAAGGCGGCGAUCUGGGAAGAUACUGACGCUGAGGUGCGAAAGCGUGGGGAGCAAACAGG